rnacentral:rRNA from 1 species
CGAGUGAAGCGGCAACAGCUCAAAUUUGAAAUCUGGCCCCCGGGCCCGAGUUGUAAUUUGCAGAGGAUGCUCCUGGUGAGGUGCCUUCCGAGUUCCCUGGAACGGGACGCCAUAGAGGGUGAGAGCCCCGUCUGGUCGGACACCGAGCCUCUGUGAAGCUCCUUCGACGAGUCGAGUAGUUUGGGAAUGCUGCUCAAAAUGGGAGGUAUAUGUCUUCUAAAGCUAAAUAUUGGCCAGAGACCGAUAGCGCACAAGUAGAGUGAUCGAAAGAUGAAAAGCACUUUGAAAAGAGGGUUAAAAAGUACGUGAAAUUGUUGAAAGGGAAGCGCCCAUGACCAGACUUGGGCCCGGCGAAUCAUCCGGCGUUCUCGCCGGUGCACUUCGCCGGGCACAGGCCAGCAUCAGCUUGGCGCGGGGGAGAAAGGCUCUGGGAAUGUGGCUCCCUCGGGAGUGUUAUAGCCCACCGCGUAAUACCCUGCGCCGGGCUGAGGUACGCGCACCGCAAGGAUGCUGGCGUAAUGGUCAUCAGCGACCCGUCUUGAAACACGGACCAAGGAGUCGUCUUCGUAUGCGAGUGUUCGGGUGUCAAACCCCUACGCGUAAUGAAAGUGAACGCAGGUGAGAGCUUCGGCGCAUCAUCGACCGAUCCUGAUGUUCUCGGAUGGAUUUGAGUAAGAGCAUACUUGNCAG